GACGAACGCUGGCGGCGUGCUUAACACAUGCAAGUCGAGCGGGGCGGCGAACGGGUGAGUAACGCGAGAGUACCUGGCCCCCUCUCUGGGAUAACAGUUGGAAACGACUGCUAGUACCGGAUAGUGGGGGAUGACUCGCGUCCUAUCCGCUUGUUGGUGGGGUAGUGGCCUACCAAGGCGACGACGGGGAGCCGGCCUGGGAGGGCGACCGGCCACAUGGGGCUGAGAUACGGCGCAAGCUCCUACGGGAGGCAGCAGGGGGGAAUAUGGUACCAUGGGGGAAAGCCUGAGGCAGAAACGCCGCGUGCGGGAUGACGGUCUUCGGGGUGGAAACCGCUUUCAGCCAUGACGCGGUAGUGGCAGAAGAAGCACCGGCUAACUCCGUGCCAGCAGCCGCGGUAAUUC
rnacentral:rRNA from 1 species